CGGGGAGAAGCCACGGAACUGCUGCCAGAGACAGUUGCCCAAGAACCUUGCCGGUAGGCCACGAGCGUCGAGACAGAUGGUGUCUGAGAUCUUCAAGUCAAGAGAAUAGACAGAGAAGGAGGAGAGGACCAAGUCUGGAGACACAGUGAUACUUUGAACCUGGGCAGAGGUAUGAGAGAUGGUAGCGGAGAGAGGCCUAUGUCACAGACGUCCAUGAAUUACGCCUGAAAGUAAACUGGCCACGAUUUCAGCAGCUGGUUUUACUUCUGGGAUGGAGCUGAUUCCAGCAGCUGCAUUUUACGUCUUGGAUGGAGGCCAUCGUGGGGCUUGAGAAUAGCCACAGUUGUGGAGAUGCUAAUCCAGUUAGUGUGCGAUAAAGAGAAGGCUGUGGGCAUUCCCCCUCUGAGAGCUGCACGCGGUGGCCCAUAAAGAAGAUGAAGGACAAUGUAAUCUAAUACAGCUCGACAACUCGUGCCGGGAAGAAGCGUGAUAGUUUGACUCUGAAACCUCACCUACAGGCUCAUGUUGUGAACCCUUGUUUCCCAGCCUGUGGGGCUAUUUUGAGGGUGGUGGGGCAUUCAGAAGGAAGGGCCUGGCUAGUGAAAGUAGCCCAUGGUGGGGAAGGGAGCUUGAAGGUUCUGUUGGCUUCUGGGGUCAUUAUGCCCUCUCUGCCUUCUGCACUGCUCCGUGGGAAGACUUGCUGCCAGAAGCUACUUCUGCCAUGGAGGAGCAGGCUCUACCACCACGUCGCCACCACUCUGAUGGAUGGAGUCUCAGGAUGCAUGUGCCAAACCGCUUGCACAGUGUCUUCUGUUUACCUCCAGCAUCUAGAAGCUUUCAUUGUUGUAGUAGAAGUGAACACCCCGAGGGUCCGCUGAGGAAUACAAGCGGCACAUCUUUUGAAGAGUCUUCGACAUGGCCUUGGGUCCACAGAAGAACACGCCAAUGCUGCUGCUGCAGGUCCGGGUGUAAGUAGAAAAAGACUAUACCUUUGCUGAAGGAAUGAAUAAACGGUCAUGUUGAUUAUUGCCUACAUGGUCUUGGACAGGGCUGGAGGUCUGGCAUAUGUAAAAAAAAAGGCAACAAUUACAUUGUGUGUUUUAAUGAAAGAAAAAUAAGACAGUAUAUUCAAAAAAGUCUU